GGCACGUGAGGGUGUGUGUGGUGUGUGUGUGUGUGUGUGUGUGUGUGUUGGCACUGGAUUCUCCUCCCUGCUGCCUACCUCACCAGCCAGCCAGG
rnacentral:miRNA from 1 species